GGAGGGGUCGCAUAGUGGUCGAGUGCGAUUGUUUACUAAACAAUUGUCUCAGUAAUGGGACCGCGAGUUCGAAUCUCGCCCCCUCCGCCA
rnacentral:tRNA from 1 species